rnacentral:tRNA from 1 species
GCCCCCAUAGCUCAAUUGGAUAGAGCGCAGGCCUCCGAAGCCUGAUGUCCUGGUUCGAAUCCUGGUGGGGGUA